UGAAUGAGAAGAAAAAAGAAUGAAAAGAAUGGAGAUGAUGAGAGAAAAUUCCUCACAAUUUUCCUUGUCAUCGUGAUUUUUCUUUUGGUUGCUGUGAUUGUCUUUUUAUUCCUUUAUGUUUCUUCUUUUAUGGG
rnacentral:ribozyme from 1 species